UCGUGGUUUGAAAGGAAAUGAAGUUUUUGUGAUGGUGUGGGCAAUCCAAUCAGUGUUCAGAUUUAAUAUUGGCACCUGGUUUGUCCACUGAGGGCAGGAUACGCCUCUGAGAACACAGGGGUUAAAAGCUGUGAUCUCCCAGGGGAACUUCCUCUUGGAGUCCCGCUGGAGAGUGAGUAGACCCCCCCCCUGCUCGGCCCCUUUGGAUGGGCAGGGGGGGAGGGGAGCCAUGUGGCCAGAGAGAGAGAGGCAUACAAGGAGGUGGGUAAAACCCAAGCAACCCAUAUUAUCAACAAGGAGAUUAUUAUAUAGAUUAAAAGAAAAGCAUUCUGGCCUGUUCACUGGUUCUUCAAAACUUGAUUAAAAGUAUUCAGAAGAAGAAUUUACCAUACAUUUUAAUGAGACAAGGCUGAAGCAGUAUGGAAUUUUUGGAAAGCAAACCUAUUUCUACUGGUAACCUCCAAGACGUGUCUUUUAGGCUAUUUAAUUUGUGUGGUUUAUUCAACUUUGGACCACCACAGCCUACAUCAUGGCAUUGAUUUUGGAAGCUGUGAACAAACCGUGUUCAUGAAUCAGCUUCCUCAGCAAUAAUGCACACAAAAUAACACUUGCAUUAAAAAGACAGAAAAGAAGAUAUCUCAAGCUGUUGAGAUCCAAUCCUACUUUUGCUGACUGUAAAGUCUUCGACCUUCUCAAGAGUCAAUUGGACUUGACAGAGUACAAGUAUGAAACAGAUUUAUAUUUGAGAUAUUAAAUUCUCUUUGUAAGGACUCCUAAUAUACAAAUUUCACAAGUGGACCUGCGUUACAGGGGAGACUGUUACAGCACUGAUGGUAGUCUGAGCAGCUGCAAGUACAUGGGUUAUUAUUUUUUUUUUGUAACACACCAGUAAAAAUAGAUGACUUUGAUGACCUUGGACCUAAAAUAUCUGCAUUUCUAAUUUGCUGAUUCCUAUAAUAAUCUAAUAAAGCAAGACUGGCCAUCUUUUUCUUCAUAUUAAUUUUUGUGGGUGUGUAUUUAGCUAUUUUUCCAGGUGUUUCCUAGGUUACUGUGUUUUCCACAGUAGUCUCUGGUUUCUGCAGAACUUCUGUGUUGCUUGGACAACUGUCAUGUCAUGCCCAAGCAGACUUUAUAAUAUGACUUCAAAAGAUUAUUUAUAGGAAUCUCUUAAAGGUUUAAAAUUUCCUAUGGUUGCUCUUAUUGUAAGAAUGUAGGCAGUUCUUAAGAAAUGUAUUUUAGAUAAUUAUUACUAGUCAAAACUACCACACUGUUAAAUAAGUCUAUCUCUAUUAUACAUUUGAAUUUACUGAGGUGAACCAAAUACUCAUCUAUACUCUGUGCUGCAAAAAAAACCCCUUAACAUUCCAAAACCUGCAUUUUCAUUCCAAAACAUGAGACUUCUUUAUCCAUAUGGCUUCAAAAUUUAUAUUUGAAUUUAUGAAUCAGACGUGUUUUACGCAACACUCUUGUUCUUUUUACAUCCUUUUGCUGAAGAGGUUUUCUUUGCAAUUUUAUUUUUCUUUAUAUAAACAUGAAUUAGAGGUGA